CCUACGGGUGGCUGCAGUGGGGAAUAUUGCACAAUGGGGGAAACCCUGAUGCAGCGACGCCGCGUGAGUGAAGAAGUAUUUCGGUAUGUAAAGCUCUAUCAGCAGGGACGAGACAAGACGGUACCUGACUAAGAAGCACCGGCUAACCACGUGCCAGCAGCCGCGGUAAUACGUAGGGGGCAAGCGUUCUCCGGAAUCACUGGGUGGAAAGGGAGCGUAGACGGUAGUGGAAUCCUGAAGUGAAAGGCGGGGGCCCAACCCCUGGACUGCUUUGGAAACUGUACGUCUGGAGUGCAGGAGAGGUAAGUGGAAUUCCUAGUGUAGCGGUGAAAUGCGUAGAGAUUAGGAGGAACACCAGUGGCGAAGGCGGCUUACUGGACUGUAACUGACGUUGAGGCUCGAAAGCGUGGGGAGCAAACAGGAUUAGAUACCCGGGUAGUC
rnacentral:rRNA from 1 species